CUUCCAAAUAGUUUCGGUUGGGCUGAGGACACGUUGUUGUCACGGUGGAUACUUCUCUAGCGUCUUUCAAGUGGGAUUUUAACAAACGACGAGCUUCAUUUCACCUGGACACGUUCCCGGCUCUUGGACAGAUGCUGCAUGAUUAAAAUUUGGCUGAUGGUUGUUUGCUCCAAUGUAAGUUUCAAGGCCACCCCAGACCUCAAAGCUUCUUUCCUUUCUUCUGAGAGGGUUGCAGGUGAGCUGGAGGCUCUCUCACCUGACUUCACGCACGAGCCGGGGUACACCCUAAACUGGUCACCUGUCAUUCAUUGGGACAUAUAGUCAAGCAACUUUUGUAUGUAUUCGGUAUUUUAGUCAUUGUACAGUUUGCACAUACGUCUGAUGGAGCCAGAACUUUUCCUACAUUGCAGGAAUUUUCAUUCAGUCAUCAUUAAGCUUAUUCUUUGCCAGGUGCGGCCUCAAAAAGCCAAUAAAAAAGUAAAAUGCAAGUAGGGGUGUGCUAAAAAAAAAAAUCAACACGGGAAGAUAUGGUUGUGGGCUUCUAUACGA